CCACGGGUGAGUAACACGUAUCCAACCUGCCGUCUACUCUUGGACAGCCUUCUGAAGGAAGAUUAAUACAAGAUGGCAUCAUGAGUUCACAUGUUCACAUGAUUAAAGGUAUUCCGGUAGACGAUGGGGAUGCGUUCCAUUAGAUAGUAGGCGGGGUAACGGCCCACCUAGUCUUCGAUGGAUAGGGGUUCUGAGAGGAAGGUCCCCCACAUUGGAACUGAGACACGGUCCAA
rnacentral:rRNA from 1 species